CUUCUUGUGAAUUGAGGUCCUUCAAUAAACCCUCUUCCUACACAAACCCAUUACAAAAAACAAAAAAAACAAAAAAACCCAAAAAGUUGAAUCUUAAAAAUUAAAUUACAGUUUGUCAAAAAAAUCAAUAAAUUAAAUUACAGAGAAAAAUUGAAAUUACCUUGAGAUUAUGUAUAAUGAGUCACCUCACAUAGUUGUACUAGUACUCUUGAUGUGCAGUGUUGAUAAGUUAUGUACCAUAUUGAAAAAUGAAUGCACAAAACCACACCUAAGAAAGCAAAACCUGCAAAACUAUCUUGAAAUCAUUUACAUGGCUUUACUUACUAAUUACCAAAUUAGAUUUGUAGGAAAAAUCAGUUCAUAAGAUCUCAACCAUGAACACAAAACCUUAUAGUGUGCCAAAUUGGAAAUUAAAGGUAUAUGUCUUCCACAGUUCCACUCUCUCUUCUGUCACACUCUCGCUUUCAUCUUUCUCACACUUCAUUUUGUCUAUGAGACAAGUAUAGGACAUAUAACAAUAUUUUUGCUUCUACCACACAAAAGAAUGAGAAACAGCUUCGAUAANNNNNNNNNNNNNAGUUAACUAUUUAUCAUUAUUUUUGCAACGAGGGGCUAGAUGUGAUUGGGAACUCAAAGGGUGGACUCAGCCUAUUGUCACAAGUUUCUAUCUUAUCCAUCAAAAUUACCAAACGAAUAAGAAAUUACCUUCUCCAAAUAAUACCAUUUAUAAGUUUGCAGUAAUCACUUGGUAUAAUUAACACGAAAUCGAAAAGAUUGUAAAAUCCAUGAAUAAGAAACUAAGUAUAAUACUAGGAUCCACAAAAAUAAUGAAUAAUCACACACAAAACACACACACUGAACCAACAAUUCUAAACUCUACCAACAAGUGAAAAAAAUACAGGGGCACAUACUAUUAAAGAUUGUGAAAAAAAAAAAUUCUGAGCAUACCUUAAUGAUGAGCAAUUACCAGACAUUUCCAACAUGCACUAUACACACAUUAAGAUAUAAACCAGAGUUGGCUGCUGGCAGUUUGAGAUAUAUACUGUAACUUAUCCUAAGCAUACCUUAAUGAUGGCAGUUUGAGUUGUAAGUGCAUGGCGACGAACGAGUACGACUUCUGACAGUUAAAUCGGUGCAGUGUAACUAAAACAUGUCAAGAUUAAUAACUUCAGCUCAUUCCAACAUCAGUAUAUAGUAACUAAAUAUAUGAGUGGAGUAAAGAUAACUUGAAAGAGCAGGCAUUCCAAAAACAAUACUGUAAUCCAGUUUUUGGGUGCACUUAAUAAUCCAUUAAUCCCUCAAGUCUAACCUUGUUUUCUCACUAAUCUAAUUUAUUUAAUAACUGAACCUAAGUAAGUACUUAACCCCUGCUUUGACAACAACCGCUGACGGCACUCAUCUCAUUCAUGUAUUCACAAUGAGAAGGAAGAGAACAAUAAACUCUCUCAAAUCUUCUUCUUCACAAANNNNNNNNNNNNNNNNNCAGUUUGUUUCCUCCGUUACCUUUUCAAUAGCUUCUCCAACCUCAAUUUUUCGUGCUACUACGGUGAUGGCCUCGACAUGCUUCUCUGCCAAAUCUCUCUUUGUUUUAGAACCUUGUUAAUUCUUGAACAUUAUAUUGCCUAAUUACACACAACACGCCUAAACAACCAGCCAAAUAGCACAUAAAUCUAUUCCAUAAGCAGCUAAAUAACACAAAAACACCUAAACCAACCAAUCUAAGAUACACCAAAAACAAGAACCCAACACAAACAGAACAUCAUAGAUACAAAAUUGGGAGAAAAAUUGCACCCAAUAUAAUAUUAGUUGAAAAAGUCAUAGUUAAAUAGCCAGGCAACAAAAACAAUGUCUUCUAACUUGAAUCAAUUUUGCAAAUUAAAUUUUCUCAGACAUCUAAAAUGUAAGCAUACCUUAAUAACGACGGUUUGAGUUGUGACAGCACAACGCGAACGUUGUGACGAGCACGGUGACAAACGAGUAUGAAUUGUGAAAGAUUAAUUGAUGCGUAUAUGGUGGAGAGAAGAUAAUUUAUGGGUUAUGGGUUACGGAUUCGAUUGCAGAAUUCGAUUGCAGGAAGAUGAGUUCGAUUCUUAGGGUUUGAAGGAAUUCGAUUGAAGAAGAUGAUUUUGUUACCUUUGGAUAUUAGAGUUUAUAGAUGAGAUCGUGUGCUCAAGAUUUUUGUGGAAGAACUGAUUUNNN
rnacentral:lncRNA from 1 species